AGGAUCCAAGUCUAUGGGCAUGCGCUCUUCCUAAUAACAUUGGAAGGUGAGUCGAUAAAUAAGGUAGCACAGGUGGCUUAAGUGAUUUUCAAGUUCAGGCUGAUGAGGAGCCGGGUUCAACUGUCAGGGUUGCAUGACUGUAUCUACCUUGAGAAGCUGAGGGGUCUUGCGGCUCAAAUUUACUUGCAUUCUACUAUUUCUCAUGUAUUGGAUCAUGUAAUUCUUGUAUUUGUUAAUUUUGGAGACAUUGAUUUGUAUAAGUCAUUAUGGGCAACCUCUUGUAUACUCUAAAUGAAAUUUGA